AUGAACCCGGCUCCGGCCCCGGACCCGGAUGGAUUACCGGUUCACUUUUUCCAGUCAUUCUGGCCGAUGGUUAAGGAGAUCAUCCUUGACCUGUUCUGGGAAUUCUCUAGGGGAACAUUAGAUAUGUCUCGCCUUAACUACGGGGUCAUUUCCUUGAUUCCUAAGGUUCCGGGCGCCGCUGACACAAGGCAAUUCCGGCCUAUCACAGUCCUCAAUGUGAUAUUCCGAAUUUUGGCUAAGGGGUACGCCACUAGGGCGGCCCUAAUUGCCCCACGGAUCCACCACCCGAACCAGUCAGCCUUCACGAAAGGCAGGUAUAUUCUGGAUGGAUCCUUGUUCUCCACGAGGUCAUCCAUGAGGUCAAGAGCAAGCAUCUCCGUGUUGUCUUCUUCAAGAUUGACUUCCACAAAGCAUACGACACCGUCCAUUGGUCCUUCCUUCGGGAGGUGUUGCUCAAGCGUGGAUUUGAUCCCCACUGGGUUGCGCGGGUGA
rnacentral:rRNA from 1 species